rnacentral:rRNA from 1 species
UUGUAGUCAUAUGCUUGUCUCAAAGCUUAAGCCAUGCAAGUGUCAGUACAAACCGCACCAAGGUGAAACCGCAAACGGCUCAUUAAAUCAGUUUUAGUUCACUUGAGCAAUAACGUCCAAGUUUUUGGAUAACUGUGGCAAUUCUAGAGCUAAUACAUGCAACCGAGUCCCGACCAGUAAUGGGAAGGACGCUUUUAUUAGAUCAAAAUCAAUCGGGGCCGGCCACCGCGCCGCCCCGUCUGACUUGAUGACUCUGAAUAACACAGACCUGAUCGCACGGCCUCGCGCCGGCGACCCAUCUUUCAAAUGCCUGACUUAUCAACUGUCGAUGGUAGGCUCUAGGUCUACCAUGGUUGUAACGGGUGACGGGGAAUCAGGGUUCGAUUCCGGAGAGGGAGCCUGAGAAACGGCUACCACAUCCAAGGAAGGCAGCAGGCACGCAAAUUACCCACUCCCGGCACGGGGAGGUAGUGACAAAAAAUAACGAUACGGGACUCAUCCGAGGCCCCGUAAUCGGAAUGAGCACACUCUAAAUCAUUUAACAAGUACCUAUUGGAGGGCAAGUCUGGUGCCAGCAGCCGCGA